AGAAGAUGAAUUGAAUACUGUCAGAUCAUUUGUUUAUCAUUAAAUAAUUAGUUAUAGCACACUUUUCUAUUCACAAUAUUUAAAAGUGUCCAUCACUUUACUUGCUCCAGCUUUAAAAUGUUUGUGAGCAUUACCUUUUUUUUCUUCUUCAAAUUUUUCUAUUGUUUUGUUUUUCACCAAUACAAAUGAAAAAGAGUAGAUAGUGACACCUUGUGGCAGUGCCUCAUUCUUUGGUACUUGUUGUAAUUUUACUUUCCCCCCCCAAUUCAUUUAAGCUAAACGUCACAGUCCCUCUGAGUUGAUUGGAGGAUAUUCAGAUCACCUGUUGGCUCCUGAUUAACAAUUGAGAGCAGCUUGGUGCAUUUCCCCUCUCGGCCAAUCAGAGUGAGACGACGGCCUUUCUUUAGGUCUUAAGAGAGGUAGAGAACUGCACACCAAGGACCUUCUGAUGCUUCCGUCACUGAAUGCACACCUUUCCACUAGGUUACCUGCAUCAUCAUCAUUAUUAUUAUUUUUUAAAUCAAAACCCUCUUUAUUGCAUAACUCCUUUUCAUCAAAGAGGCAUUUAUUUAUUAUUAAGAGGAAUUUGUUGUGAUUGAAGAGGCAUUUUUCAUUGUUUCAUUUUCAUUUCUCCAAGUACAUUUUUAUUUUAAUCUUUUUUUUUUUUUUUUUUUUAUAUAAAUGGAGGUUGAGAACUGGUUCCCAGACUUCUUCCCAAUCAGCUGAAAUAUGGUGGUGAAACCAGUCGCUGGAGAUGAUGGAUUAGAAACUGAAAUAACUUUCCUAGAUGACUCAUCUCUGAAUAUUGAGGUACUGUCUGAGCAAGUCCAUCACCACCGCCUUCAUGUGACCCCGGAUACCACUGCGAUACCUGUUGGGAGACAAAUACCGUCUUGCCUGACACAAAGAAGAAUGCAGCUUGUUCCAGGCCUAUAGUGUUCAAUAAGUUGCCACAUUGUGUCGUAGGCUGUACUGUACAUGUGAGUGAUCAACGUGGGAGGUUUUGCAUUAUAAAUAUUGAGAGAGAGAGAGAGAGCGAGAGAGAGAGCGAGAGAGAGAGAGAUCACUUACUUCUGCACCAGCUGCACAAUGCUUUGUGUGUUCAUAAAGAAGACUUCUCUCUCUGACUUCUUGUUAAGAGUCGCAGCAUGGCUGUCCAGGAUGUUUGCAAUCUGGUAAAAUAAACAACACAAGAAUUAACAGCAGUGUCGACUCAUAAGCAUUUAUGAGCCCUCAGUUAGCUCCCUUUGUUUCCAGAGUGGGAUCCUAACUGGGUGUGAGAUUUGUGAUUAAAAUGUAGAGAUUUAAUCUAAUUAGAAGUAUUUUUAUUACUACUCACAUUAGUGUACUGGCCUUUCCUUACACGCACGCACAGGAUUUCAAUUACAGUAAUAUUUUUAGACUUUUUCUUUAAAAGUGUUUUUUUAUUUGCAUUAUGGUGUUUUAAAAUAAAGCAACAAUACCCUAACACU